CAACGGCCGCGGUAUCAUGACCGUGCAAAGGUAGCGUAAUCACUUGUCUUUUAAAUAAAGACCCGUAUGAAAGGCAAAACGAAAGUUCAACUGUCUCUUUAAUCCAAUCAAUGAAAUUUAUCUUUUCGUGCAGAGGCGGAGAUAAAUAUAUAAGACGAGAAGACCCUAUGGAGCUUUAAACACACUAUUAACUACUACAGUAAUUUAAACCAACAGGCAAAAAUCAUAAACCACACAGCCAUAAUAUAAGUUUUGGGUUGGGGCGACCACGGAGCAAAAAAAAUCCUCCGAGAUAAACAAUUUAGAAUAACACUUCGAAAAUUAAAACAUUUAUUAUAAAUGAUCCACUAAGUGACCAACGAACCAAGUUACCCUAGGGAUAACAGCGCAAUCCUUUCUAAGAGUCCAUAUCGACGAAUGGGUUUACGACCUCGAUGUUGGAUCAGGACACCCAAAUGGUGCAGCCGCUGUUAAAGGUUCGUUUGUUCAACGAUUAAAGUCCUAC
rnacentral:rRNA from 1 species